UACGUAGGGACCAAGCGUUGUUCGGAUUUACUGGGCGUAAAGGGCGCGUAGGCGGCCAUUCAAGUCAGUUGUGAAAUCUCCGAGCUUAACUCGGAACGGUCAACUGAUACUGCUUUGCUAGAGUACAGAAGGGGCAAUCGGAAUUCUUGGUGUAGCGGUGAAAUGCGUAGAUAUCAAGAGGAACACCUGAGGUGAAGACGGGUUGCUGGGCUGACACUGACGCUGAGGCGCGAAAGCCAGGGGAGCAAACGGG
rnacentral:rRNA from 1 species